rnacentral:misc_RNA from 1 species
CCUCUGCAGUCUUAAUCUUCACCAAGACUCUGUCGCCCAAAGGCUUAAGUGUAGUGUACUUAGGAGCUACGGUGGUAGCCGCCUUGACAACAAGACGACUAAAAGACCUGCUGUUGUUGUGCUUCAAAGGAGCAAAAGAUACGGUCUUUACAAUGCAAGUGGACCUGAGCCCUUCAAAGGAUGCAAAACCAUUGCCAGAGAUAGAGGAUGCUGUUAGCUGAGUGGACGCCAUUUUUUUUCUGAAUUUGGAUAAGUUUUUUCUUCUUCUCAACUGGAGUAAAUUGUUGGAAAUAUGGAGGAGAGUAGGUAAGAAGAGGAUAACAAAACCCUAGAAGGUUCAAGAGGAGG